rnacentral:rRNA from 1 species
UGGGGAAUAUUGCACAAUGGGGGAAACCCUGAUGCAGCGACGCCGCGUGAGCGAAGAAGGCCUUCGGGUCGUAAAGCUCUUUUAUGAGGGAAGAUAAUGACGGUACCUCAAGAAAAAGCCCCGGCUAACUACGUGCCAGCAGCCGCGGUAAUACGUAGGGGGCUAGCGUUGUCCGGAAUCACUGGGCGUAAAGGGUUCGCAGGCGGAAUAACAAGUCAGAUGUGAAAGGCAUGGGCUCAACCCAUGUAAGCACUUGAAACUGUAAUUCUUGAGAAGUGGAGAGGUAAGUGGAAUUCCUAGUGUAGCGGUGAAAUGCGUAGAUAUUAGGAGGAAUACCUGUGGCGAAGGCGACUUACUGGACACAAAUCUGACGCUGAGGAACGAAAGCGUGGGUAGCAAACAGG